GACGGACGCUGGCGGCGUGCUUAACACAUGCAAGUCGAACGCUGAACCCGCUUCGGUGGGGGAUGAGUGGCGAACGGGUGAGUAACACGUGGGCAACCUGCCCCCGGCUCUGGGAUAACUCCAAGAAAUUGGGGCUAAUACCGGAUGUGACCGCUGGCCGCAUGGUCUGGUGGUGGAAAGGGUUUCCGGCUGGGGAUGGGCCCGCGGCCUAUCAGCUUGUUGGUGGGGUAGUGGCCUACCAAGGCGACGACGGGUAGCCGGCAUGGGAGGGUGACCGGCCACACUGGGACUGAGGCACGGACCAGACGCCUACGGGAGGCAGCAGUGGGGAAUAUUGCGCAAUGGGCGGAAGCCUGACGCAGCGACGCCGCGUGGGGGAUGACGGCCUUCGGGUUGUAAACCUCUUUCAGCAGGGACGAAGCGCAAGUGACGGUACCUGCAGAAGAAGCACCGGCCAACUACGUG
rnacentral:rRNA from 1 species